rfam:Cajanus cajan Scaffold113160_1, whole genome shotgun sequence.
AAACCAUGUUGUGGACAAGCUUCAAGAUAUCCCUUGUAACGCUCCCAUGCUUCAUAAAUAGUUUCAUUUCUUCCUUGUUAAAGUUAGUGAUUUUCUUCCUUAAUUC